rnacentral:rRNA from 1 species
UAAUGUCUGGGAAACUGCCUGAUGGAGGGGGAUAACUGCUGGAAACGGUAGCUAAUACCGCAUAACGUCGCAAGACCAAAGAGGGGACCUUCGGGCCUCAUGCCAUCAGAUGUGCCCAGAUGGGAUUAGCUAGUAGGUGGGGUAACGGCUCACCUAGGCGACGAUCCCUAGCUGGUCUGAGAGGAUGACCAGCCACACUGGAACUGAGACACGGUCCAG